CAAUUUCUCGUUUGUUCAAAAUGAUCGAAUAUUCCUUUGGAAUUUCACUUAUGUUUUAAAAAUUCCUUAAAACGAAGGCAACGUUCAAAGUUUGGAAAUUUGGGGAAUCGUGCCCUAUCGUGCUGGGUUGCAAUUUCCCGUUUGUUCAAAUAAUCGAAUAUUCCUUUAGAAUAUCACUCAUGUUUUCUAAAUUCUAAAACAAGACAAUGUUCAACGUUUAGGAAUCCGAGAAAACGUGCCCUACGU
rnacentral:lncRNA from 1 species